AAGUUUUAAAUGGCCGCAGUAUUUUGACUGUGCAAAGGUAGCAUAAUCAUUAGUUUCUUAAUUAGAAGCUUGUAUGAAAGGUUGGAUGAGAAAAUUACUGUCUCUAUUUAAAUUAAUUAAAAUUUUAUAUUUAAGUAAAAAAGCUUAAAUAUACAUAGAAGACGAGAAGACCCUAUAGAGUUUUAUAUUAUUAUUAUUUAUAUUUUUUAGUAUUAUAAUUAUAUAUAUAUAUAUAAUUAAUUAUUUGAUUGGGGUGAUUAAAAAAUUUAUUAAACUUUUUUUUUAUUAUUUCAUUAAUUUAUGAAUUAUUGAUCCUUAAUUUAAAAUUAAAAGAAUAAAUUACCUUAGGGAUAACAGCGUAAUUUUUUUUAAAAGUUCAAAUCAAAAAAAAAGUUUGC
rnacentral:rRNA from 1 species